UCCUCUGCCGUAAUCCUCUUAUCUUUCUUUUGCUUAUGCCGAGUAGGGUAUGGAUCAAUCCAUGGUCGGAAUUGGAUCCUUGAAUCCAGAUGUAGUCCGCACAAAAUUUCUAUCAUACCCCUUCAGAUCAAGGGUUAGUAGGAUUACCUUCCACCGUAUCUUGAGCCGAAUUCUGAACCCUUAUCUUGGAUUCCACCUUGGUUACUAGCACUUGUGCUUCUCCACGCCGAUCUAUGAUCCUCGUACGCACAAAGUUUGUAGAAAGGAAACACAAAGUGGAAGGAGAAAAACAGAAGAAAAUUCAGGGAAUUCUGAAGGAUGUUUCUGUAACUAUUAUCGAGAAUUGUCUAUCUGGUGAAUGCGCUUUGCUGAUCUGCCUUUUUAGAUGCAGAUAUGAAGAUUAGAACCAGCACCUGCCAAUUGUCGAUGUAGAUUAUGCAUCUUCAACCCCAUAAUGUAAGAUUUAAGAUCCCUGAGAAGUGAAAUAUAUUACAUUAUAAUUUGAGAAUUUGCAUGUUUAUCCAUUUCCCUUACAGUUCCAAUGGUAUCAGAUAGUUGGAUCAGUAAAUCUCAUGAAUUUAACAUAUUGUUUUCUGAAUUA